UACGAAGGGGCUAGCGUUGCUCGGAAUCACUGGGCGUAAAGCGCACGUAGGCGGGUCUUUAAGUCAGGGGUGAAAUCCUGGAGCUCAACUCCAGAACUGCCUUUGAUACUGAGGAUCUCGAGUCCGGGAGAGGUGAGUGGAACUCCGAGUGUAGAGGUGAAAUUCGUAGAUAUUCGGAAGAACACCAGUGGCGAAGGCGGCUCACUGGCCCGGUACUGACGCUGAGGUGCGAAAGCGUGGGGAGCAAACAGG
rnacentral:rRNA from 1 species